rnacentral:lncRNA from 1 species
CUCAGUAACUGUGUGGAGGGGAGAGUACCAUAUCAAGCAGGAAGAGGGUGGACUCAUUUAAAAAAGAAAGAAAGAAAGAAAGAAAGAAAGAAAGAAAGAAAGAAAGAAAGAAAGAAAGAAAGAAAGAAAGAAAGAAAGAAAGAGAGAGAGAGAGAGAGAGAAAGAAAGAAAGAAAGAGAGAGAGAGAGAGAGAGAGAGAGAGAGAGAGAGAAAGAAGGAAGGAAGGAAGGAAGGAAGGAAGGAAGGAAGGAAGGAAGGAAGGUAGGAAGGAAGGAAGGAAGGAAAGAUUAUAAUUCUUUCAAAUUGACCACCUUGUUUGUUCUUUGGCAAAGUAGAAAUAAUUUGGAGUAGGAGAAGCAGCUCCCUUAGCUUCCUCCCUACCACCCCAAGAGCUGGCCCUAGACCCAAGGACAACACAUCUACCAGGCCAGGAUUCCAAGGAAAGGGAGCCCUACUUCCUCACCACAUUCCAAUUUAUGCUCUUGAAGAUGUCCCUUACCCACAGCUUUCACAAUAUCUUUCUUCCUUCUUGGCAACUUUUUUAAAAUGAGGACAUUCUUAGUGGUUUGAUGCUAAAAUUUUGUAGUUACUUUGAGAUUUAAAUGCUUAUUUCUUUUACUAUUAGCAAGGUUCCUAUAGUUGAGGGUUUUUAUAUGUUUAAGGUACAAUAUAGUUUUAGAGCAAUUAAAGGCUGCUAUCUAAAAAGCUUCUUAAUUCAAUUCAAUUGAAAACAUUUCUUCAGCACUUACCAUCUAGUAGAUACCAUACUGGAAAUAAGAAAUAUAAAGACAGAAAAUGUCACAAUCUCUGCCUUUAAGGAACUUAUAAUCUGAUGUAGGCGAGUGGUUAAGAUAAACAAAUAUGACGAUAACUAUGGUAGGAGAUAGAAUUUCACAAGUAUAUUUCCUUUUCCAAAUUCUAUGACCUUAGGCAAGUCACUUAACUUCCUUCAUCCUCAGUUUCCUUAUUUGUUAUAUGAGGGAAUUCAAUUAGAUGGUGUCUGAGGUCCUCUCAGCUCUAAGUUUCUGACCCUAAAAAAUAAGGGGCCUAGGUAAAGUUUAUAAAAAAAUUUGGGAGAGGAGAAAUCAUUGAUAACUAGAAGAU